rnacentral:lncRNA from 1 species
GAAUUACCUUUAACAUUUUAAUGGAUAAUGGGUUCUUUAUGUUCUUACUUUAUGAUAUCCAAAGAAUUUUAAAAGGUCAUUAGAAGAGCAUAAAUUGAACCUUAUUUUUUUCCUGUUAUAAGUUGGGAAGAUACAUAAAGUAUUAAGAAAAAAUCAUCAGGAAUCUUACUACUAAAGAUAUGUAAUAUUAAGAUGUUAGUGUAUUAAAUGAUACAAUCUUAUUUUCUAGAUAUGACUGUUCUAGUUUUUAUAAAUAUAGUUAUAAUCAUAGUGGACAGAAUUGUAUAGGUUUUCUCACCUAUUUUGAAAAAGCUAAUUACUUUUCCCCAAGCAUCAUUUCAAAUGAGUGUGUUCAGAAAUAGGGAUUAGUACUGUUCAGAAUCAUUCUACAGGAUAAAACAUUUACAGAUGUUAGUACAAGUUUUUAAAGGAAGAAAAAGCUCUCAUUAGAUAUACUUUAAAUUUGAAAAAUCUGCAAACAGAAAAUGGUUAUGGCUUUCCUUGCCACACACAAUGUUGACAAAUCUUUCCUUUAAAACUAUAGACUGCUUUUUCUAAAUUUAUCACAAAGCAUUUUAUUGAAAAUUCUUUGUAAAUAUUUUAGUAGCUGCAUUAGAUGAGGUUCAGCAGAUGUAUCAUGAUCCAAUUCGUAACACCUCUUCUGUGCUUCCCUGGAUUGCUCAUUUACAUUUAGGAAUGAAAGAACAAGGCUACUUGGUUUUCUCUGCCACUUGACUCUCCUUUGAAUAAAUCAGGUAGGCUGAUAGGCAAGCUGGGGUCUACACCAAAUCCCCCACUGGGGAAAAAAAGGUGGAGAACUCUUCUCUGGACCACUAACCAUCAUAUGAAGCCCUGGUUUUUUGGAAACAGAUCAUCUGCUUUUUUAGAGUACUCUGGCAGCCUUCUGUAUGGAGCAAUCACUGCUGCUACCCAGUAGUGUUAGAAACCAGCCCAAGCAGCCCACAUAUUACAGGUUUAUUUAUCAAUCAAAUAUCUUGAUUUCUCUUCCUCUUCUCAUUCUUGCUCUUCAUAACAGGCAAUCAUAAGGGGUCCAUUGUAAAAAGAAAAAAUUGGUUACCACCUGUAUUAAAGACCGCUCACUUUGAAAUUCUCUUGAAAUGUGGCUUUCUGUUAGGGUUUAGUCUUUGGUAUGAUCAUUCUGCUUUCCAAAUCCAAUUUCCAUUCUCUUUUCAAAACCUUUAGUCCU